UUUGGUGAUGAUGGCAGAGAGGUCACACCCGUUCCCAUACCGAACACGGAAGUUAAGCUCUCUAGCGCCGAUGGUAGUUGGGACCUUGUCCCUGUGAGAGUAGGAUGUCGCCAAGC
rnacentral:rRNA from 3 species